rnacentral:rRNA from 1 species
GAUGAACGCUGGCGGCGUGCUUAACACAUGCGAGUCGAACGAUGAAGCCCAGCUUGCUGGGUGGAUUAGUGGCGAACGGGUGAGUAACACGUGAGUAACCUGCCCUUAACUCUGGGAUAAGCCUGGGAAACUGGGUCUAAUACCGGAUGGGAGCGCCUACCGCAUGGUGGGUGUUGGAAAGAUUUAUCGGUUUUGGAUGGACUCGCGGCCUAUCAGCUUGUUGGUGAGGUAAUGGCUCACCAAGGCGACGACGGGUAGCCGGCCUGAGAGGGUGACCGGCCACACUGGGACUGAGACACGGCCCAGACUCCUACGGGAGGCAGCAGUGGGGAAUAUUGCACAAUGGGCGAAAGCCUGAUGCAGCGACGCCGCGUGAGGGAUGACGGCCUUCGGGUUGUAAACCUCUUUCAGUAGGGAAGAAGCGAAAGUGACGGUACCUGCAGAAGAAGCACCGGCUAACUACGUG